AGCACUGCGCAGGCGCGGCGGACCUAGUGGCGGAGCGCGGCGGCUGGGGUGAUCAGUAUGGCGGCCGAGCGCAAAACUAAGUUGUCCAAGAACCUGCUGCGCAUGAAGUUCAUGCAAAGGGGACUGGACUCAGAAACCAAGAAACAACUAGAAGAGGAAGAAAAGAAAAUCAUUAGUGAAGAGCACUGGUACUUGGAUUUGCCCGAGCUUAAAGAGAAAGAGAGUUUCAUAAUAGAAGAGCAGAGUUUCUUGUUAUGUGAAGAUCUUCUCUAUGGAAGAAUGUCAUUCAGAGGAUUUAAUCCUGAGGUUGAGAAAUUAAUGCUUCAGAUGAAUGCUAAGAACAAAGCAGAAGAAGUUGAAGAGGAAACAGUGGAGCUCGAUGUGUCAGAUGAAGAAAUGGCUAGAAGAUAUGAGACCUUGGUGGGGACAAUUGGGAAAAAGUUUGCCAAAAAAAGAGACCGUGCCAAUUAUGAAGAAGAUGAAAAUGGAGACAUAAAACCAAUUAAAACAAGGAAGAUGUUCUUAAAGCCCCAAGAUUAAAACGGAUGCCUUAACAUGUGGCUCAGGGUUGCCUUGUGAGAAUUAGCACAUUUUGGAACUCAUUCUUUUGGUUCCUCUAUAGUUAUUAAUGCUGUAAUGUUUAUUUGUAAAGACAUGUAUAAUUUUGGAAACAUGCUGUUUUUGGAACAGAUGUGUGAUGGAUGUUAUACAUCCUUUGCUUAAUGGUAUUCAUCAAGAGUGGAUUUUUAACCCUUGAUCUUCAACCAUACAUAGGCACCAGAUUCUACUCUCUCUGUCAAGCAGAAGAUGCAAGGCAUCUGAGGCUGAUUCUUCCCAGAAAUUAACUCCAGGGCCCACCCCAUCUGGUUAUUACAAGAUAUUGAAUGUAGUUCCCUGUGCUGUACGGAAGAAAAUGAAAAGGUGGAGGAAGUAUGGAAAGCUCUUUCUUCACUGAACUUCCCUGAGAAGGGGCCAAGGAAGAGAUUGGCUUCAAGCUGAAGAUUUUAAAAGUAACUCUUUUAAAAGGUCAGGUCAUUUUAUAUGUCUCUUUUGUUUUGACACUCUGUCAACUGGUAAAAGGAAUUUCUGUUUUUAGUCAACAUUGAGGUAUAAUGUGUAUGUGAUAAGAUGCACCCAUUUUAAAUCUAUGGUUUGAUGACUUUUGACAAAAGUAUUCACCUGGGUAACCAUCACCACAAUGGAGACGUAGACUGCUUCCAUCCACCCUAGAAAUUCCCUCAUUCCUCCCUGUGGUCAAUUCCUGAUCUCCUGUCUUAGGCAACCACUGAUCUGUUUCUGCCACAUUAUGUUAGUUUUGCUUGUUCUAAAAUUCCAUAUAAAUGGAAUCUUAUAGUACAUUUUGUUUUGUACCCAGGUUCUUUUGCUCAGCAUAAUGUUUUGAGAUUUAUCCACGUUGUUUGCAUGUUUCCUGCACUUCCAAAAUAAACUGCUUGCACUUGAACCCUCAUCUCAGGGUCUGCUUCUGGGGGAACCCAAAUUGAGACAGCAACUCUGAGUCAGACU